UACGGAGGAUCCAAGCGUUAUCCGGAUUCACUGGGUUUAAAGGGUGCGUAGGUGGAAUGACAAGUCAGUGGUGAAAACCUGCAGCUUAACUGUAGAACUGCCAUUGAUACUGUUAUUCUUGAGUACAUUUGAUGUGAGCGGAAUGUGUCAUGUAGCGGUGAAAUGCUUAGAUAUGACACAGAACACCAAUUGCGAAGGCAGCUCACAAAACUGUAACUGACACUGAGGCACGAAAGCGUGGGGAGCAAACAGG
rnacentral:rRNA from 1 species